rnacentral:lncRNA from 1 species
AACUUCAUCAGCUGGUGUGACGAAUAUGUUCGAGUGUUGCAUAAUCAAGGGAGGUUGCAAAUGGACACAUCCGAGCGUUUAAAUUUAACAACUCAUCCAACGAAUGCUAACGACUCCAACGAAUUAGUGAUGGUGAAAAUUGAAAUACGUCAAUUACAACUAACUCAACGAUUUGUCAUAAUUGUUAAUGUUAUGUAUGCGGUGUUGUUGUUAAUGUUGUUAAAUCGGUUGUAAUUUUGAUAAUUUUCAUU